rnacentral:lncRNA from 1 species
UGUGAGAAGCUCUGAGGGCAUGAAGGGCAGUGAAAUGGCUUCUCACCCGUGUGGGUGCGCAGGUGUUUCAUAAGAUUGGCCUUCUGUGAGAAGCUCCGAGAGCAUGAAGGACACUGAAAUGGUUUCUCGCCUGUGUGGGUACACAGGUGUUUCAUAAGGUUGGCCUUCUGUGAGAAGCUCCGAGAGCAUGAAGGACACUGAAAUGGCUUCUCGCCUGUGUGGGUGCGCAGGUGUUUCAUAAGGUUGGCCUUCUGUGAGAAGCUCCGGGAGCAUGAAGGACACUGAAAUGGCUUU